UACGUAGGGUGCAAGCGUUGUCCGGAAUUAUUGGGCGUAAAGAGCUCGUAGGCGGUUUGUCGCGUCUGCUGUGAAAAACUCGGGGCUUAACCCCGGGCCUGCAGUGGGUACGGGCAGACUAGAGUGCGGUAGGGGAGACUGGAAUUCCUGGUGUAGCGGUGAAAUGCGCAGAUAUCAGGAGGAACACCGGUGGCGAAGGCGGCUCUCUGGUACGUGACUGACGCUGAGACGCGAAAGCGUGGGGAGCAAACAGG
rnacentral:rRNA from 1 species